ACCAAAGAUCCUAUAGCGGAGCAAGAUAGACCACUCCUUCUAAAUGCAAUGGGCUGAGACGUGUAGUACGGAACGGAGCAUCCAUCACAGU